rnacentral:rRNA from 1 species
AUUGAACGCUGGCGGCAGGCCUAACACAUGCAAGUCGAGCGAGCGGCGGACGGGUGAGUAAUGUCUGGGAAACUGCCUGAUGGAGGGGGAUAACUACUGGAAACGGUAGCUAAUACCGCAUACCAUCAGAUGUGCCCAGAUGGGAUUAGCUAGUGGGUGGGGUAAUGGCUCACCUAGGCGACGAUCCCUAGCUGGUCUGGGAGGAUGACCGGCCACACGGGAACUGAGACAGGGUCCAGACCCCUACGGGAGGCGGCAGAGGGGAAUAUUGCACAAGGGGCGCAAGCCUGAUGCAGAAAUGCGGCGGGGGGGAAGAGGGCCUUCGGGUGGUAAAGCACUUUCAGCGAGGAGGCGUUACUCACAGAAGAAGCACCGGCUAACUCCGUGCCAGCAGCCGCGGUAAUAC